UCUGCGCCUACCAUGGUUGUAACGGGUAACGGGGAAUCAGGGUUCGAUUCCGGAGAGGGAGCCUGAGAAACGGCUACCACAUCCAAGGAAGGCAGCAGGCGCGCAAAUUACCCACUCCCGGCACGGGGAGGUAGUGACGAAAAAUAACGAUACGGGACUCAUCCGAGGCCCCGUAAUCGGAAUGAGUACACUCUAAAUCCUUUAACGAGGAUCAAUUGGAGGGCAAGUCUGGUGCCAGCAGCCGCGGUAAUUCCAGCUCCAAUAGCGUAUAUUAAAGUUGUUGCGGUUAAAAAGCUCGUAGUCGAAUCUGUGUCCCGCGCCGCCGGUUCAUCGCUCGCGGUGCUUAACUGGCGUGUCCGCGGGACGUCCGGCCGGUGGGCUUAGUCCGCGAGGACUGCCCAACUUCAAAUCCCACCGCGGUGCUCUUCACUGAGUGUCGAGGUGGGCCGGCACGUUUACUUUGAACAAAUUAGAGUGCUUAAAGCAGGCUAGAAUUUCGCCUGAAUACUGUGUGCAUGGAAUAAUGGAAUAGGACCUCGGUUCUAUUUUGUUGGUUUUCGGAACCCCGAGGUAAUGAUUAAUAGGAACGGAUGGGGGCAUUCGUAUUGCGACGUUAGAGGUGAAAUUCUUGGAUCGUCGCAAGACGGACAGAAGCGAAAGCAUUUGCCAAAAACGUUUUCAUUGAUCAAGAACGAAAGUUAGAGGUUCGAAGGCGAUCAGAUACCGCCCUAGUUCUAACCAUAAACGAUGCCAGCUAGCGAUCCGCCGACGUUCCUCCGAUGACUCGGCGGGCAGCUUCCGGGAAACCAAAGCUUUUGGGUUCCGGGGGAAGUAUGGUUGCAAAGCUGAAACUUAAAGGAAUUGACGGAAGGGCACCACCAGGAGUGGAGCCUGCGGCUUAAUUUGACUCAACACGGGAAACCUCACCAGGCCCGGACACCGGAAGGAUUGACAGAUUGAGAGCUCUUUCUUGAUUCGGUGGGUGGUGGUGCAUGGCCGUUCUUAGUUGGUGGAGCGAUUUGUCUGGUUAAUUCCGAUAACGAACGAGACUCUAGCCUGCUAACUAGACGCGUAUUCGACAUCCCGAAGGCCCGCCGGUACGGCGUUCUCGCCGGUCCGAGCGCGGUUUUUACUGUCGGCGUCUAAACAAUUCUUCUUAGAGGGACAGGCGGCUUCUAGCCGCACGAGAUUGAGCAAUAACAGGUCUGUGAUGCCCUUAGAUGUUCUGGGCCGCACGCGCGCUACACUGAAGGAAUCAACGUGUCUUCCCUGGCUGAAUAGCCCGGGUAACCCGCUGAACCUCCUUCGUGCUAGGGAUUGGGGCUUGCAAUUGU
rnacentral:rRNA from 1 species